rnacentral:rRNA from 1 species
GUGCCAGCAGCCGCGGUAAUACGUAGGGGGCUAGCGUUGUCCGGAAUUACUGGGUGUAAAGCGCGUGUAGGCGGGAGGCCAAGUCUGCUGUGAAAUCGCCUGGCUCAACUGGGCGGGGUCGGUGGAAACUGGUCACCUGGAGGACGGUAGAGGCGAGUGGAAUUCCCGGUGUAGUGGUGAAAUGCGUAGAUAUCUGGAGGAACACCGGUGGCGAAGGCGGCAUCCUGGGCCGACACUGACGCUGAAGCGCGAAAGCCAGGGGAGCGAACGGGAUUAGAUACCCCGGUAGUCC